CUCGACUUCCUAACACAGAUUCGUUUUCCUUCCUUUAUCAUUCAAAGGUUCAUCCCCCCACAUCUGUUAUCGAAUAUAGAAUCCUACGAGAGACAGCUUGAAGGAAGACAACCAUAGUUUCAGCCAUGAUAGAAAUCCAACCAAACCUGUUACAAGCUUCUUACGCCGUCCUUUGGAUUCUACUGGGAAGCGCUGCAACAUCAAGAAGAGUCUGCCAGAAGAUGACAGUUGGAGAUGUCAGAAGAUCGAACAAAACUUAAGCAUUCAGAAAACACAGCAGGAUGCCAACAAUUUUGAAAGUAGGGGAAUCGUUCCAAACAACAUAAUCAACGUAAAGGUAUUAUGUCACAAUUUCUAACACAAAUUGUAGAAUAAGCCAAAGGAAAUUAAUAUCUUAUAUAAAUUCUGCCUCUUCACACCAAAAGCCCAUGCUUACCACCACAGCAAUCAAAAUUUCGGCCACACCUUCACCCAAUAGUCAGACCAACUACAGGGUGCACAUUUCAGAAUGAUGUCUACAACAGUGGCCAAUGGAAUUGACAGAGAGAGAGAGAGAGAGAGAGAGAGAGAGAGAGAGAUUUAUUCUUAAUAUUAAUAUUACUAGUUUUUUAUGCAAAAGAAUGAGGCUCCACAUCCACAAAUAAAGAGCCUUUGCAGAAUUGAAGAACGGCAAGGAGUAAGGCAGCUAUGGGAUGGCUGAUCAGAUGACCCACCAAAAACAAACUGCUUAUUAAUCCUUGAGCAACAAAGCAGUGGAGUUUGAAGUAUUCAGCUGUUUUCCAAGGACCAUUGGAUAUGGGAUUUUGUCUUUCACCCAUUUAAUAAAAAAUAUCUUUCUAAUUUAUAAUAUAUAAAUGUCAUUUUCAAAAAUUUGUCUUUCAUUUUUUUUAAGUAAAAAUUUUAUGGAUAGCCAACUAGGCAAAAGCCCAGUACAUAGAACAUAUACAAGAGGAGGCACCUAGUUAGGAAGAAGGGGAUUUUUGUUUUUGAUUGGUACCGGGUGUCUAAGAACAAAGUCCCGCCUAAUCCGGGGGCGCAUUGUCCCUCCUAAUUCAAGGAGAAGUUCUCCCCUUCCGAUGACCCCUAGAAAUUAUUUGCACCCAAAAGGAUUUGAAUCUUAGACCUGGAGGGAGCAUACCACCAAGACCAAGGCCUUUACCACCUGAGCCAACCCCUAGGGGUUAGGAAGAAGGGGAAUGAAUACACUACAAAAAUAAUAGUAUUUUCCUCAGGGUCUUUUCCCUUAAUUAGGCUUCAGACAUUAGGGUCUUUUCCUCCUUCAGAUCUGACUGCCUCCCCCUUCAUACCCGAGAGUUCAGCCUCCAGCAUCUAUCUCAGGCUAUUAGUUUAUUCUCCUCCACACAGGUACCGAGAUCAAAUUUAUGAAACUUUUGAAACAACUUUUGAAGAAAGGUUUUUAUGGGAUUUUUUGAAAGUGAUGGAACCCGUUAAAAAUGUGUUUGGAUUGAGAAAGCUUUUUAAAGAUUUUUUUAUUGGGGUCUGAAAACAUGGUGAGAUCCAUUGAAAAUGUUUUUGAGGAGUUUUUUGUGAGAGAAUUUUUUGAGUUAAGUGAGAUUAUUUUGGUGUAAAGAUGUCUAGAUAAAAACUAAGAAGAUUUUCUCACAAACCACUUUUUGCCAAACAUCGUAAAGAUUCAACUUGUUACAAAGUUUUCCAUUUCCCUCAACCCACAAAAGAAAGUAUCAAACUUUAUUUUCUACCAACCCAUAGGCAGCUAACUACUAAACUUACUUUCCAACGAUACACCGACCCAGAAUAUAGUAAUGUAAAUAUUGAGCCAAAAUUUUUCUAUUUACUUGAGUUGCAACUAUUGCAUUUUUCAAUAAAGGAUGAAUUAUUAUUUUAAAAAUUCAAGUUAAGCUUUCACAUGAUUGGGGUCAUAAAUUAGAUAAUAGUGCAUAAGUAGAUUGGCUUAGAAGUUCAAAUUUCAAUCAUUUGUCAAUUUGAAAUUUUUUUUUUUUUAUAAGUAAAAAAUAUUAUAUAUCAAAGGAGAAACCAAGUACACAAAAUGUAUACAAGAAAACACUUUGCCCAAAAAGCCCCUAAUGACUCAAAAAGCCCGUG